AUGCACAGCCAGCACAAUAACUUUCCUUCUCACUGGCAGGUGGAGUUACAGCCUGCUCUUGGACAUGGAGAAAUAAAGAAAACCCUGUUGGCUGUAGACUUUCAUAUCCUGCACAUAGUGAAAGCCAAUAAAUUGUCCAGGCCACAAAAAAGAGGCAUGUUUCAUAAACAAUUUCAGAAGUUUUAUUCUGAACUUCCACUUGUUCUCCAGGCCAGCAAGUCCUUCUGCAGCAGCAUCUCUUGCAGGACAAGUCACAGAGCUCCACAUCUCUCUCAGCAAGCACUGCCCACCAGCGCUGGAGCAUGA
rnacentral:lncRNA from 1 species